AUCCGGUGGAAGUCUUCGCCGGAGGAUCCGAAGGCAGCAUCAACGCGGUUGUCUCUUGACACUGCACACAGCAUAGCAUUUAAUCUUCGGAUGUUCUAGUCACCACACAAAUAAAGAGACUGAGCAUCGGAGAAACUAAACAGCUUGCCUGAGGUCUUGUAGGACUGCCUGGAAAAGGAAAAGCUGGAAAAAUUGUUUAUCCAUGGGGGGGAAAAAAAAAGAAAUUGGAUUCUUAGUCACACCAUGCCGAAAAAUUCACUCCAGAUGGAUGAAGAGCUGAAAUGUCAAAAGCAAACUCUGAGAAUUUGAAAAGGAAAUAUAAGUGAGUAUCUUUCUGAGCUUGAAGUAGGGAAGAAUUUACAAAGAUAGAAAAAAGGACAGGCAUAAAAGAAAAGAUCAAUAAGUUUGGCUACAUUAAUAUUAAAGCCUUUGUCCAUCAGAAGACACUUUAAAGAGAAGAAAGACAAUCUAUAAACUGGAAGAAGAUAUCUGUAAGACAUUCAACUGACAGGAUUAGCACUAGAAUAUAUAAAAAUAGCCACAAACUAGUGAGGAAACAACUGCAGAAAAGUGGGCACAAGGCAUGAGAAGCACGGUCACCGCACAGAAGGGAGGUGUGUGAGGCCAGUGGACAUAUGCAGAGAUGCUCGGCCACAGACAAAGGCAAAUCAUGACUAUGAUGAGACAUGAUUCUAUACCU
rnacentral:lncRNA from 10 species